GCGUGAGUGAAGAAGGCCUUAGGGUUGUAAAACUCUUUCAGGUGGGAAGAUAAUGACGGUACCACCAGAAGAAGCUCCGGCUAACUCCGUGCCAGCAGCCGCGGUAAUACGGAGGGAGCUAGCGUUGUUCGGAAUUACUGGGCGUAAAGCGUGCGUAGGCGGCUUGGCAAGUAGAGGGUGAAAUCCCGGGGCUUAACCUCGGAACUGCCUUCUAAACUGCCGAGCUAGAAUCCUGGAGAGGUGAGCGGAAUUCCUAGUGUAGAGGUGAAAUUCGU
rnacentral:rRNA from 1 species